AGACCCCGUGAACCUUUACUGCAGGUUGACACUGGCCCAGCGUCGAUGCUGUGUAGCAUAGGUGGGAGGCAGCGACCCGGCGGCGCCAGCCGUCGGCGAGCCAUCGGUGAAAUACCACCCUGCAUCGACGCUGAUCCUCACCGAUCCGUGGCCCGGAUCGGGACCGUGUUCAUCGGGCAGUUUGACUGGGGCGGUCUCCUCCCAAAGCGU
rnacentral:rRNA from 1 species